AAACACAAUGCAAGUCGAGCGCACUCUUCGGAGUGAGCGGCGGACGGGUUAGUAACGCGUGGGAACGUGCCCUUCUCUAAGGAAUAGCCACUGGAAACGGUGAGUAAUACCUUAUACGCCCUUCGGGGGAAAGAUUUAUCGGAGAAGGAUCGGCCCGCGUUAGAUUAGAUAGUUGGUGGGGUAAUGGCCUACCAAGUCUACGAUCUAUAGCUGGUUUUAGAGGAUGAUCAGCAACACUGGGACUGAGACACGGCCCAGACUCCUACGGGAGGCAGCAGUGGGGAAUCUUGGACAAUGGGCGCAAGCCUGAUCCAGCCAUGCCGCGUGAGUGAUGAAGGCCUUAGGGUCGUAAAGCUCUUUCGCCAGAGAUGAUAAUGACAGUAUCUGGUAAAGAAACCCCGGCUAACUCCGUGCCAGCAGCCGCGGUAAUACGGAGGGGGUUAGCGUUGUUCGGAAUUACUGGGCGUAAAGCGCACGUAGGCGGAUCAGAAAGUAUAGGGUGAAAUCCCAGGGCUCAACCCUGGAACUGCCUUGUAAACUCCUGGUCUUGAGUUCGAGAGAGGUGAGUGGAAUUCCGAGUGUAGAGGUGAAAUUCGUAGAUAUUCGGAGGAACACCAGUGGCGAAGGCGGCUCACUGGCUCGAUACUGACGCUGAGGUGCGAAAGUGUGGGGAGCAAACAGGAUUAGAUACCCUGGUAGUCCACACCGUA
rnacentral:rRNA from 1 species